rnacentral:lncRNA from 1 species
AAAUAUGGUGGUUGAGCACAGGAGGAAAGCAGAUUCCAUAUGUGUACAACAUCUACUUGAGCAAAGUCAUCGUCUGCAUCCUGCUCAUGUGCUCCUGGCUAUACCGUAUUUCAAUCUGUUUCCUCGUCUGCGUCUUCUUCAGCCUCACCUGCUACCUUCAGCUGCUGAGAUUAGACGACUUCGCUCAAGUCUUCGAACGAGAAUCUGAUGUGGCCGCAAUCUUGGUGGAACAUCUCAGCAUCAGAAGAAAUCUCCGCAUCAUUAGCCACCGCUUUAGGCUCUUUAUCUUGUCCACUUUGAUCCUAGUCACCAUAAGCCAAUUCGCUUCCUUGCUCGUCACCACAAAGCCUAAAUCCAACGUUAACAUUGCCACAGCCGGGGAACUAGCGGUGGGUGUAUAUAAUAAUUCUUUUCUCCUUUUAUUAUAUGUAUAUAUAAAUCUAAUAGCGCGCUGAUGAAUUUGAUGCUGCAGCUAUGUUCGAUCACAUUGGUAACAGGGCUGUUUAUCUGCUUGCGAAGUGCUGCGAAGAUCACACACAAAGCGCAAGCAGUUACGGCUUUAGCAGCUAAGUGGCAUGCGUGUGCCACCAUCAACUCCUUCGAUGACUUAGACGACGAAACUCCGUCUGCUCAGAUUACCCCAGCUGCGCCUCACGCGGAUUGGGAUACGGAUAAUGAAGAAGGAGAUGGAGAUGAUGUGUUGGAUAACACCAACUUAGUUCCAAUUUAUACACAUACUAUUUCUUACCAGAAGAGGCAGGCACUAGGUGAGUGUGACAUUUUUCUAUUUCUUAUGAUUUAAUUCUGCUUAUAACCGUGAUGAUGUGAUGCAGUGACAUAUUUCGAGCACAACAGAGCUGGGAUCACUGUGUAUGGAUUUAUGCUGGACAGAACUUGGCUGCACACCAUAUUUGCCAUACAGCUUUCCCUCACGCUCUGGAUCUUGAACAAGACUAUUGGGAUUUCCUAAAUUUUAACAUUACCUCUAUGGUGUCUAAUGGUGAGGUUCAGUUUUGGUGAUUUUACUGAUUACCAUAACAACUGCCCUAAUCAAUCAUUUCUGAAGCUUUAGUAGAAGAAGAGGUUUAGAGAUAUAUAUAGGCUUGGAUUUUGUUUGUACUUUUUUUUUUUUUGAGAAUUCUGUCUGAGUAAUUGUAGUACUAAAUGAUGCUAGCUCCCUCCUAAUGGGUUAGUUGCAUAGAAUGGUAUUAAACUAUACUAAUCUUUAAUUUGUUUCAAAACAAAUACUGAUGAUGAAUAAUAUAUGCAGAGCAGAGGAAUCGUCUUUAUCAGAGGAACGGACCUCACCAGAGGAGCGGAUAUAUCAGGGAAAUCACUCCCGAUCAGAGAAAUGACCCUUGCCAGAGAAAUGGCCUUUGCCAGAGAAAUGGCCCUUGCCAGAGAAGUCACGUAUGCCAGAGAAGUCGCUGAACAGAGGAACCGCCCGCCUGGGGGCAAAAUUACCACUAUGCCCUUGACCAUGCGGGAAGCAUGCUUCGAAGGCGAAAUCACUAUUUUACCCUUAGCAUGUAAUUUAUAAAUAGCUGCACAUACACACUUUGUAAUCACACGCUUUCAAUACUUUUACUACUGCAACAAUAUUUCCUCGUGCUCUCAGCAAUCUAGCAAUCUUUUCUCACCGUUACGAUUAAUCUCUAGGUAAAAUCUACAAUUCACCGAUAAUUCACCAAACAAACGAUCACCGUUCAUUUAUGCUUUACCAAAUACUAAAUUUAUACUCCUAAUUAUUUUAUUACACAUGACAAUUAAAUACCACAUAAUCUUCACUAUUUAAGCUAACUUAUUAAAUACUCCCUCCGUCCAUGAAAGAACUUCCUAGGAGGGAGUGACACAAGUUUUAAGAAAAAAUAUUGUUGAGUGUAUUGAGAGUGGAUAAAAAGUAGUUGAGUGUAUUCAGAGUGGUGAAAAGGUGUUAUAAUUAAUAUUGGGAGUUGUGAAAAGUGAAAAGUAAGAGGAUUAUAAGUGGUGGGGUAUAAUCCAUAAAUAGGUAGGAAGUUCUUUUGUGGACGUCCCAAAAAGGAAAGAUAAGAAGUUCUUUCGUGGACGGAUGGAGUAAGAUAGUAUUUUCACUUUUUUAUUUAUUAUUGCUCGACAUUAUUCGCCCAAAAAAUCUAAACAAACAACAAAUAAUUCCGCGUUGCAUCCUUCGCCAUUUCACAAAUCAAACAGUGUAAGGUGUUUGGUUUGAGUAAUAAGACAUGAUUGAUAAAAUAAUUCACCUUAAUCAAGUGUUUGGUUUGCAUGAUUGGGCCCGUGAUUGAUAAUUUGACCCGCAAUUAUCAUACAAUUGAAUGAUUAUUUAUCACCCUAAAGUUGAGUGGAUUAGUUAAUCAGUCAUUCAAUCCUAUCAAUCAUAUCAAUCCUAUCUAUUCUAUCCACCAAACCAAAAAUUCUAAAUUUUCUUCUCCUCGAUUAUCAGAUUGAUUUAGGUAGAUAUUACAACUUGAUUAACUUUAUUUAGAGACUAGUCAUCAAUUUAAUUUGAUAUCCUGUGCGUUUUAUGAAAUGUAAUUAGACUUUAUUGGUUUAUAAAAAAAUAUGUCAUAUGACAAUUGACAUGUAACUACUAAUCUUGUGGGUUUUGUUUUCAACGAGUUAACUUGAUUGUUGGCCGAAAAAAAGAAUUACUUGCCAAAGUAUAAUUAAUCUUGUGGGCUUUCAGCCCAUAAUAUGUCUAGUCUCUGGCCCCAAAAAAUCAUCGCCUUUUACACGGGCCUCAUCUCUGCCCUUUUUAGCUUACGUUUUUAUCAGACCAUAUUCAAAUGGAAUAUGCUAUGCAAUUUUUUGAGUGGAUUUUUAAAAUGGCCACUUUCAUAUUGUAAAGAUAAAAAAUGUCCAUUAAGAUAAAAAACUUAAAAAAUGUCCACUGUUACCAAAAUACCCUUCACAUUAAAAAUUUUAAAAAUGUCCACUUUACAUCACCUCUUUAAAAAAUCCCGCAAUUCACAACCCGUGUGAAUUCACAACCAAAAUUUUUUUGGUUGUGAAUUUACACUAGUUGUGAAUUGAGAAUUCACAACCAGUCGAAUUCACAACCAGAAUUUUUUGUUUGUGAAUUCACAGCCAAAAUUUAAUUCACAAUCAGUUGAAUUCACAACCAAAAUUUAAUUCACAACUAGAAUUUUUUGGUUGUGAAUUCACACCAAACGAAUUCACAACCAAAAUUUAAUUCACAACCAUAUUUAUGUUGGUUGUGAAUUCACAAUCAGUGUGAAUUCACAACCUGAAUUUAAUUCACAACUAGAAUUUAUUUUGGUUGUUAAUUCAAGUAGUUGUGAAUUUGUAGUUUUUAAAGUUUGAAUUCACAACUAAAACUAGAAUUUAUUUUGAUUGUGAAUUCGAGUUUUAGUUGUGAAUUAAUAGAUCUGAUUGUGAAUUCAAGAAUAUUAAGUUAUGAAUUCAUNGAAAAAUGGAGGCAGAAGUGGUAGAGGUGCUGCUGCCCAAGAAGAAAGCGAAUUAUAUAUCGCGUGGAGAUUCUUGGAAUGAAGCGAAUCUGGAGCUGAAGAGCUACGGAUCAGGUCUGAAAUGGGUGUUUCUAGAUUAUUCUAGUUUGUGGCGAGCUGGGCUGUCGUGGUCCGUGUUUUUGUGCUGAAUAUCGGCGUCCCGCUCGUAUCCCACUUCGUAUUCUCUUGUUCCGACUGCGAUCCCAGCCAUCAGAGGCCUUUCGAUGCAAUUACUCAGCUCUCUCUCUCGCUCUUCGCCGCCAUCUCGUUUCUCAGCAUCUCUUCCUUCUCGCGAAAAUAUGGUCUCCGUAGGUUCCUGUUUCUCAAUAGGUUGUCUGAAGAGAGUGACAAGGUUCGGCAACACUACACACUGCAGCUUCAUGUAAGUCCCCCUUUUCAAAACUCAAUACUUGUCUGCUCUGCGUCUGUGUUUCUUUACUUUACUAUUCAUAUGCAUUCCCCCUUCUUCUUUUUUCCAUUUAAUUUGGACACCGGAGAUGUUCUAAUUAAUUUGAAUGAACUUUUACCACAACUCUGAGAAUUGAUAAAGUCAACGGCUGAAAAUAUGGGUAUGAAUGCAGAGAUCGAUGAAGCUCCUGUCCGCCUUCGUCCUCCCCUGUUUCCUAGUAGACAGCGUGUACAAAAUAUGGUGGUUGAGCACAGGAGGAAAGCAGAUUCCAUAUGUGUACAACAUCUACUUGAGCAAAGUCAUCGUCUGCAUCCUGCUCAUGUGCUCCUGGCUAUACCGUAUUUCAAUCUGUUUCCUCGUCUGCGUCUUCUUCAGCCUCACCUGCUACCUUCAGCUGCUGAGAUUAGACGACUUCGCUCAAGUCUUCGAACGAGAAUCUGAUGUGGCCGCAAUCUUGGUGGAACAUCUCAGCAUCAGAAGAAAUCUCCGCAUCAUUAGCCACCGCUUUAGGCUCUUUAUCUUGUCCAC